rnacentral:rRNA from 1 species
ACGGCUCAGUAACACGUGGACAACCUACCCUUGGGUCUGGCAUAAUCCUGGGAAACUGGGUAUAAUUCCGGAUAGGUCACAGAUGCUGGAAUGCACUGUGGCCGAAAGCUCCGGCGCCCAAGGAUGGGUCUGCGGCCUAUCAGGGUUGUAGUGGGUGUAACGGACCUACUAGCCUACGACGGGUACGGGUUGUGAGAGCAAGAGCCCGGAGAUGGAUUCUGAGACACGAAUCCAGGCCCUACGGGGUGCAGCAGGCGCGAAAACUUUACAAUGCGGGAAACCGUGAUAAGGGAAUCUCGAGUGCCAGCAUAUAAUGUUGGCUGUCCAGAUGCCUAAAAAGCAUCUGUUAGCAAGGGCCGGGCAAGACCGGUGCCAGCCGCCGCGGUAACACCGGCGGCCCGAGUGGUAACCGCUUUUAUUGGGUCUAAAGGGUCUGUAGCCGGCCAAGUAAGUCCCUUGGGAAAUCUGGCAGCUUAACUGUCAGGCUGCUAGGGGAUACUGCUAGGCUUGGGACCGGGAGAGGUGAGAGGUACCUUGGGGGUAGGGGUGAAAUCUUGUGAUCCUCGGGGGACCACCAGUGGCGAAGGCGUCUCACCAGAACGGGUCCGACGGUAAGGGACGGAAGCUAGGGGCACGAACCGGAUUAGAUACCCGGGUAGUCCUAGCCGUAAACGAUGCUCGCUAGGUGUCAGUCACGGUGCGACCGUGAUUGGUGCCGUAGGGAAGCCGUGAAGCGAGCCACCUGGGAAGUAUGGCCGCAAGGCUGAAACUUAAAGGAAUUGGCGGGGGAGCAC